rnacentral:lncRNA from 1 species
CGGAAAGGGAGGUGUCCUACGGGCCGCUGCAGGGGUCCCGGCCUUGAAAAGAAGCGUCCCGGAGCUGCACCUUGGGCUCCUGGGUAACGAAGCGCCCGCCUGGAUUUAUAGGGGAAAACAGUACAUAUAUGUACUGAAAGAAAGCUGGAAACGAAAGAGAGAAGGAGAAAGAAAGAGAGGUGGGAAGGAGGAGAAAGAAGAAGAAGGAGAGAAAGAGAGAGGAAAAGAAGGAAGAAGAGAAAGAAUGAAUGAGGACUCCAAACUCCACGUAGGCAGGGAGCCUGUCUGCUGCUCUCAACUUUGGACUCAGCAUCGAACAUAGUCCCUGGUGCUUAGAAGAUGCUCAACAAAUACUUCACAAUUGAAUGAACACAUGGCUAUGCUGUCAUAGAAUUUGAAAGUUCUUGCAGGGAAAAUGUCUUGCCAAUAUGUACUUGAGAAGACCAUCCUUUUCAGUUGAACAACAAGAACCAAAAUGUUAAUCAAAUAUGUCCAGUGACUUUACAAUUUGCAGAGCAACUGAGAAAUAUAGAAAUUGGGCUGGGCAUGGUGGCUCACGCCUGUAAUCCCAGCACUUUGGGAGGCCGAAGCGGGCAGAUCACGAGGUCAAGAGAUUGAGACCAUCCUGGCCAACAUGGUGAAAUCCCAUCUCUACUAAAAAUACAAAAAUUAGCUGGGUGUGGUGGCACGUGCCUGUAGUCCCAGCUACUUGGGAGGCUGAGGAAGGAGGAUCACUUGAACCCGGGAGGCAGAGGUUGCAGUGAGCCAAGAUCGUGCCACUGCACUCCAGCUUGGGCGACAGAGUGAGACUCUGUCUCAAAAUAAAAAUAAAAAUAAAAAUAAAAGAAAUAUGAAAAUCGUUAGUAAUGGGAAUGAUGUGAGGAACUCAGUAUUUUUAAGCUGUUAGAUGGUAGGGGGCGAGAGAUAAAACCUUCACGGCAUAUGCUUACCUUGUAGAUCAUUAAUAAAUACAGGCAACACUAUGGCUCUGACUUUACACAGCAACAGUUCAUCUACAUUGCCACAAGGAAGUAGCCAGGGAUAUUACUAAUUUUAAAUACCAGCCCGUCAGCAAGAAUGAAGCUGAAAUUCAGGGCUGUUCCAAGAAAGGGCAGAAACAUGCCAGGAGCGCUGAGUAAACUUUCAGUCUGAAUCCAUGUGAAUUACUGGGGAGUCCUGGAUUUCGAAAUUCUUUUGCGGUUCACACCACCCACGUGUCAGUAAACAGGCUAAGGCUAAGGCUACUCCUGUUCUAUAUUGCCACCUAGUGGAUAAUGAUACCCGCGUUCCUUCGUGCAUUUGCUUCAGAGAGACUUGCCCUAGUUAGCAAACCAGCUGAUGAAUAUUAUUUGAGACACAAAUGAACUAACCUUUGAGUUUGUUUCCUUUGGACUUUGAGAUGUCUGUUUACUGAAGCGAAUGUGGCAUUUCAUCAUCUUCGAUCAGCCUGUAGGAAAAAAUAAGCAGCAUUUAUAAAUGGCAUCUCUUCAAGAAUUAAAAAUGCAUAAAGGUGGUAAUAUUUCCACUGAGUAGCCGUCAGUAAUUAAGUUUUUAAAUUUCUCUUUUUCUCCUUCUCUGUCUUUCCUAUUUACUUUUGAACCUUUAAUUACUAUACUGUGUCAUUUCAGGCAAAACAAUGCUAGACCCAGGCUUCAGGUUCCAUUGUUGUAGAAACAACGUAUUAGUGGAUCCUGAUAUCAAUAUGAGCAGCAUCA